rnacentral:rRNA from 1 species
CUUGCUAUGAUAAAAAUUAGUGGCAGACGGGUGAGUAAUGCAUAGGAAUCUACCUAGUAGUAUGGGAUAGCCACUAGAAAUGGUGGGUAAUACUGUAUAAUCCCUGCGGGGGAAAGAUUUAUCGCUAUUAGAUGAGCCUAUGUUAGAUUAGCUAGUUGGUAGGGUAAAGGCCUACCAAGGCGGUGAUCUAUAGCUGGUCUGAGAGGAUGAUCAGCCACACUGGAACUGAGAUACGGUCCAGACUCCUACGGGAGGCAGCAGUGGGGAAUAUUGGACAAUGGGCGCAAGCCUGAUCCAGCUAUGCCGCGUGAGUGAGGAAGGCCUUAGGGUUGUAAAACUCUUUCAGUGGGGAAGAUAAUGACGGUACCCACAGAAAAAGUCCCGGCAAACUCGAA